CCUACGGGAGGCAGCAGUGGGGAAUAUUGCACAACGGGGGAAACCCUGAUGCAGCGACGCCGCGUGAGUGAAGAAGUAUUUCGGUAUGUAAAGCUCUAUCAGCAGGAACGAGACAAGACGGUACCUGACUAAGAAGCCCCGGCUAACUACGUGCCAGCAGCCGCGGUAAUACGUAGGGGGCAAGCGUUAUCCGGAAUCACUGGGUGUACAGGGAGCGUAGACGGCUGAGCAAGCCUGAAGUGAAAGGCGGGGGCCCAACCCCCGGACUGCUUUGGGAACUGUACGGCUGGAGUGCAGGAGAGGUAAGUGGAAUUCCUAGUGUAGCGGUGAAAUGCGUAGAUAGUAGGAGGAACACCAGUGGCGAAGGCGGCUUACUGGACUGUAACUGACGUUGAGGCUCGAAAGUGUGGGUAUCAAACAGGAUUAGAUACCCUUGUAGUC
rnacentral:rRNA from 1 species